rnacentral:tRNA from 1 species
GGCCUAUUAGCUCAGCUGGUCAGACCGUGGUGCUAAUAACGCCAAGGUCGCAGGUUCGAUACCUGCAGAGGUCA